AGUUUGAUCCUGGCUCAGGACGAACGCUGGCGGUGUGCUUCACACAUGCAAGUCGAACGAGGUAGCAAUACCUAGUGGCGGACGGGUGAGUAACGCGUGGGAAUCUGCCCAAGGGUGGGGGAUAGCAGGCCGAAAGGCCUAUUAAUACCGCAUAUGCCGUGAGGUAAAAGGAGUAAUCCGCCCCUGGAGGAGCCUGCGUCUGAUUAGCUUGUUGGUGGGGUAAAGGCCUACCAAGGCUACGAUCAGUAGCUGGUCUGAGAGGACGAUCAGCCACAAUGGGACUGAGACACGGCCCAUACUCCUACGGGAGGCAGCAGUGGGGAAUUUUACGCAAUGGGCGAAAGCCUGACGUAGCGACACCGCGUGAGCGAAGAAGCCCUUUGGGGUGUAAAGCUCUGUCGGCAGGGACGAAUAAAUGACGGUACCUGCAAAGGAAGCAUCGGCUAACUACGUGCCAGCAGCCGCGGUAAGACGUAGGAUGCAAGCGUUGUCCGGAUUCAUUGGGCGUAAAGAGUUCGUAGGCGGUUUGUUAAGUCUGAUGUUAAAGAUCAGGGCCCAACCCUGGGAGUGCAUUGGAUACUGGCAGACUGGAGUGUAGUAGAGGCAAGUGGAAUUCCCAGUGUAGCGGUGAAAUGCGUAGAUAUUGGGAAGAACACCGGUGGCGCAGGCGACUUGCUGGGCUAUAACUGACGCUGAGGAACGAAAGCUAGGGGAGCAAAUGGGAUUAGAUACCCCAGUAGUCCUAGCUGUAAACGAUGGAUACUAGGCGUUGCAGGUAUCGACCCCUGCAGUGCCGCAGUUAACGCGAUAAGUAUCCCGCCUGAGUAGUACGGCCGCAAGGUUGAAACUCAAAGGAAUUGACGG
rnacentral:rRNA from 1 species